rnacentral:rRNA from 2 species
UUGAUUGGUGCUUGCAUCAUGAUUUACAUUUGAGUGAGUGGCGAACUGGUGAGUAACACGUGGGAAACCUGCCCAGAAGCGGGGGAUAACACCUGGAAACAGAUGCUAAUACCGCAUAACAACUUGGACCGCAUGGUCCGAGCUUGAAAGAUGGCUUCGGCUAUCACUUUUGGAUGGUCCCGCGGCGUAUUAGCUAGAUGGUGGGGUAACGGCUCACCAUGGCAAUGAUACGUAGCCGACCUGAGAGGGUAAUCGGCCACAUUGGGACUGAGACACGGCCCAAACUCCUACGGGAGGCAGCAGUAGGGAAUCUUCCACAAUGGACGAAAGUCUGAUGGAGCAACGCCGCGUGAGUGAAGAAGGGUUUCGGCUCGUAAAACUCUGUUGUUAAAGAAGAACAUAUCUGAGAGUAACUGUUCAGGUAUUGACGGUAUUUAACCAGAAAGCCACGGCUAACUACGUGCCAGCAGCCGCGGUAAUACGUAGGUGGCAAGCGUUGUCCGGAUUUAUUGGGCGUAAAGCGAGCGCAGGCGGUUUUUUAAGUCUGAUGUGAAAGCCUUCGGCUCAACCGAAGAAGUGCAUCGGAAACUGGGAAACUUGAGUGCAGAAGAGGACAGUGGAACUCCAUGUGUAGCGGUGAAAUGCGUAGAUAUAUGGAAGAACACCAGUGGCGAAGGCGGCUGUCUGGUCUGUAACUGACGCUGAGGCUCGAAAGUAUGGGUAGCAAACAGGAUUAGAUACCCUGGUAGUCCAUACCGUAAACGAUGAAUGCUAAGUGUUGGAGGGUUUCCGCCCUUCAGUGCUGCAGCUAACGCAUUAAGCAUUCCGCCUGGGGAGUACGGCCGCAAGGCUGANCUCAAAGGAAUUGACGGGGGCCCGCACAAGCGGUGGAGCAUGUGGUUUAAUUCGAAGCUACGCGAAGAACCUUACCAGGUCUUGACAUACUAUGCAAAUCUAAGAGAUUAGACGUUCCCUUCGGGGACAUGGAUAC